UGGCAGUCAGAGGCGAUGAAGGGCGUGCUAAUCUGCGAUAAGCGCCGGUAAGGUGAUAUGAACCGUUAUAACCGGCGAUACCCGAAUGGGGAAACCCAGUGUGAUUCGUCACACUAUCAUUAACUGAAUCCAUAGGUUAAUGAGGCGAACCGGGGGAACUGAAACAUCUAAGUACCCCGAGGAAAAGAAAUCAACCGAGAUUCCCCCAGUAGCGGCGAGCGAACGGGGAGGAGCCCAGAGCCUGAAUCAGCAUGUGUGUUAGUGGAAGCGUCUGGAAAGGCGCGCGAUACAGGGUGACAGCCCCGUACACAAAAGCGCAUGUGCUGUGAGCUCGAUGAGUAGGGCGGGACACGUGGUAUCCUGUCUGAAUAUGGGGGGACCAUCCUCCAAGGCUAAAUACUCCUGACUGACCGAUAGUGAACCAGUACCGUGAGGGAAAGGCGAAAAGAACCCCGGCGAGGGGAGUGAAAAAGAACCUGAAACCGUGUACGUACAAGCAGUGGGAGCACCCUUUGGGGUGUGACUGCGUACCUUUUGUAUAAUGGGUCAGCGACUUAUAUUCUGUAGCAAGGUUAACCGUAUAGGGGAGCCGGAGGGAAACCGAGUCUUAACCGGGCGUUAAGUUGCAGGGUAUAGACCCGAAACCCGGUGAUCUAGCCAUGGGCAGGUUGAAGGUUGGGUAACACUAACUGGAGGACCGAACCGACUAAUGUUGAAAAAUUAGCGGAUGACCUGUGGCUGGGGGUGAAAGGCCAAUCAAACCGGGAGAUAGCUGGUUCUCCCCGAAAGCUAUUUAGGUAGCGCCUCGUGAAUUCAUCUCCGGGGGUAGAGCACUGUUUCGGCUAGGGGGCCAUCCCGGCUUACCAACCCGAUGCAAACUGCGAAUACCGGAGAAUGUUAUCACGGGAGACACACGGCGGGUGCUAACGUCCGUCGUGAAGAGGGAAACAACCCAGACCGCCAGCUAAGGUCCCAAAGUCAUGGUUAAGUGGGAAACGAUGUGGGAAGGCCCAGACAGCCAGGAUGUUGGCUUAGAAGCAGCCAUCAUUUAAAGAAAGCGUAAUAGCUCACUGGUCGAGUCGGCCUGCGCGGAAGAUGUAACGGGGCUAAACCAU
rnacentral:rRNA from 1 species